AUUGAACGCUGGCGGCAUGCCUUACACAUGCAAGUCGAACGGUAACAGGUCUUCGGAUGCUGACGAGUGGCGAACGGGUGAGUAAUACAUCGGAACGUGCCUAGUAAUGGGGGAUAACUACUCGAAAGAGUGGCUAAUACCGCAUGAGAUCUACGGAUGAAAGCAGGGGAUCGCAAGACCUUGUGCUACUAGAGCGGCCGAUGGCAGAUUAGGUAGUUGGUGGGAUAAAAGCUUACCAAGCCGACGAUCUGUAGCUGGUCUGAGAGGACGAUCAGCCACACGGGGACUGAGACACGGCCCAGACUCCUACGGAAGGCAGCAGUGGGGAAUUUUGGACAAUGGGCGCAAGCCUGAUCCAGCAAUGCCGCGUGCAGGAUGAAGGCCUUCGGGUUGUAAACUGCUUUUGUACGGAACGAAAAGCCCCGGGUUAAUACCCUGGGGUCAUGACGGUACCGUAAGAAUAAGCACCGGCUAACUACGUGCCAGCCGCCGCCGUAA
rnacentral:rRNA from 1 species